UUCUCCUUUUCAUAUUCAGGUUCUGCUGAAACAUGGUAUGCUCUCUUUCUCUCCCACACCUUUGCACAUGUUUUCCCUGCAACUGUCUACAGAGUUCUUUGUAGUCAGUGAUUACUCAGCUAAAAGGUACCUCUUUGAGGAAACAUUCCGUGGCAUCACCAGGUAAGAUGUAACCUCCUCUUUGGUGAUCCUGUUAGACUCUGAGUGUGCAUUUCUCUCUCCUGUACAGUCAGAGCUCUAGGAACCCAGAGAUUGCGUCACUUUAAACUUUGUGUGUAAUUUCUCUUUUUUUUUUUUUUUUUUUUGCUUUUUAGGGCUGCACUUGCAGCAUAAGGAGGUUCCCAGGCUAGGGGUCUAAUCAGAGCUAUAGCUGCCAGCCUACACCACAGCCACAGCAACGCCAGAUCCGAGCCGUGUCUGCAACCUACACCACAGCUCACGGCAACACAGGAUCCUUAACCCACUGAGAGAGGCCAGGGAUUGAACCUGGAACCUCACGGUUCCUAGUCGGAUUCGUUUCUGUUGUGCCAGGAUGAGAACUCCAUUUGUGUGAAAUUUUAUCAGUUUGUGGAAUCGACACCCAGGAAAUUGGACAUUAAUACUUCAUUUUCUUCGGUCUCUCCCUUGGGUUUAGUGGGGAAAUUUCUCACAAUAUUGCCCAGAGGACACAGAACAAGGAGAUCGCAUUUCUUGUGUUUGGAUUGCCUCACAUACAGGAUCAACUGUAGGCACAUGAGUUCACUUAAAUUUUUGCACAACAUGAUGACCAUAUUUUCAUUCCUCAGACAUAAAAGUGGUUACAAUUACUUUCUCAGAUGCAGAUGUUACUGGUCUUACCAUGCACGGUGCAGAGGUGGUACAUUUAUAGAGGUGCAAGAAAAUGAACACAUUGCUUUUAUUCUUCUCUGUACUAAUCUGCCAAGAAAAACUCUGAGCUGACUUUUAGACUUUAGCAGAUUAGAUUUAUGGAAAUUAGAAAUAUGUCCCUAUGCAAAAGAUUUUAAAAGAUUUUAUGCUGAUAGUUACAGAAUUUUCAGCUGAUUUAGGCUAAAGUAGACCACUCAGUUCUUUCCAGAACCUCAACUAAACCCAAUCUUUGGAGAAAAAAGAAAGCAAAACAACUUUAAUUUUAGCAGGGAAGUUAAUUUUUUUUAAGUGAAUGAUUAAAGAUUUUAACUUUAUUAUAAAGUCAUAUUAUUUUUCAUUUUUAAAAAACAAAACAACUAGGAGUUCCCUUCGUGGCGCAGUGGUUAACGAACCUGCCUAGGAAUGAUGAGGUUGCAGGUUGGAUCCCUGCCCUUGCUCAGUGGGUUAAGGAUCGGGUGUUGCCAUGAGCUGUGGUGGAGGUCGCAGACACGUUCUCGGAUCCCAAGUUGCUGUGACUCUGGUGUAGGCCGGAGGCUGCAGCUCCGAUUAGACCCCUAGCCUGGGAACCUCCAUAUGCCGAGGGAUCGGCCCUAGAAAAGGCAAAAAGACAAAAAACAAAACAAAACAAAACAAACAAAAAACAACUAGAUUGCUCUUUUCUGUAAUCUAGACAAAAUGCUUUUAGUAGUCCUCUAUCUCUUUGACAAAUCAGAAAGGUCUA
rnacentral:lncRNA from 9 species